rnacentral:rRNA from 1 species
UGUGUAGGCGGUUGGCCAAGUCUGGUGUGAAAUCUCCCGGCUCAACUGGGAGGGUGCGCCGGAAACUGGCUGGCUGGAGUGCGGUAGAGGAGAGUGGAAUUCCCGGUGUAGUGGUGAAAUGCGUAGAUAUCGGGAGGAACACCUGUGGUGCAGACGGCUCUCUGGACCGUAACUGACGCUGAGACACGAAAGCGUGGGUAGCAAACA